rnacentral:rRNA from 1 species
AGAGUUUGAUCAUGGCUCAGAACGAACGCUGGCGGCAUGCCUAACACAUGCAAGUCGAACGAGACCUUCGGGUCUAGUGGCGCACGGGUGCGUAACGCGUGGGAAUCUGCCCUUCGGUUCGGAACAACAGUUAGAAAUGACUGCUAAUACCGGAUAAUGACGUAAGUCCAAAGAUUUAUCGCCGAAGGAUGAGCCCGCGUAAGAUUAGGUAGUUGGUGGGGUAAUGGCCUACCAAGCCGACGAUCUUUAGCUGGUCUGAGAGGAUGAUCAGCCACACUGGGACUGAGACACGGCCCAGACUCCUACGGGAGGCAGCAGUGGGGAAUAUUGGACAAUGGGCGAAAGCCUGAUCCAGCAAUGCCGCGUGAGUGAUGAAGGCCUUAGGGUUGUAAAGCUCUUUUACCAGGGAUGAUAAUGACAGUACCUGGAGAAUAAGCUCCGGCUAACUCCGUG